rnacentral:rRNA from 1 species
CUAGUAAUCGCAGAUCAGAAUGCUGCGGUGAAUACGUUCCCGGGUCUUGUACACACCGCCCGUCACACCAUGGGAGUCGGAAAUGCCCGAAGUCGGUGACCCAACCGUUUACGGAGGGAGCUGCCGAAGGCAGGUCUGGUGACUGGGGUGAAGUCGUAACAAGGUACC